UACGGGGGGGGCAAGCGUUGUUCGGAAUUACUGGGCGUAAAGGGCGCGUAGGUGGCCAACUAAGUCAGACGUGAAAUCCCUCGGCUUAACCGGGGAACUGCGUCUGAUACUGGAUGGCUUGAGUUUGGGAGAGGGACGCGGAAUUCCAGGUGUAGCGGUGAAAUGCGUAGAUAUCUGGAGGAACACCGGUGGCGAAGGCGGCGUCCUGGACCAAUACUGACGCUGAGAAGCGAAAGCAUGGGGAGCGAACAGG
rnacentral:rRNA from 1 species